rnacentral:ncRNA from 2 species
GACGAACGCGCGGGAGAGUGCGUCGGAUUGCCAUGAGCUGUCCGUCGCCGCCGAAGGAGCAACCGCCCCGGAAUCUCUCAGGCCAAGGGACCGCGCGGACGAC